rnacentral:rRNA from 1 species
GCUAUCGGCCAUACUAAGCCAAAUGCACCGGAUCCCAUCCGAACUCCGAAGUUAAGUGGCUUAAGGCGUGGUUAGUACUGAGGUGGGGGACCGCUCGGGAAACCCUCGUGCCGAUAGCUAUU